UGGAUGAAAUUCAUUCCGGUUAUUUGUAAUAAAUGUAUUGACAGAGGGAAGAAAAAAGCUAAUCAUACAAAGUUACCUCUCAAGAGUAAAUUAUUAGGCUUAUGAGUAUUCCAUGAAAACUUUAUCUCCACUGCAGUCAAGAAAGUAAAGCUGUUGUUAUCAGGAGGCAUACUGUUGUUAUCAGGAGGGAACAUUGCUACGUUCGGAUCCUCUGAUCAAUCCUGAGAUUGUUUGCAUCUGUGCAAUCAUAAUUACUCCAUCUCCACCAAAGAUCAAAAAUGAUGUACUGGAACAGAAGGAACUGUGAAGAAGGCAAAAAAGGUGACUGGCGGUAUUAGAAUGGCUGCAGUAGAAGAAAUGACCAAGAAAGUUUGUAAUUUCUUGCUGCACAGAAAGCAAACAAUUGAAAGAGGCACAGGAAAGAGGUUUCUGAAAGCACAAAGAGCAUAAAGAAAAGAGAAGUGACAGUGAACAGGCAAUCCCUUGUUAAUAGUAAAAACUGGGGGCAUCAAAGAACAUCAGCAGGGCUGAAGUUUGAAACAGGACAGAGGGGACUUCUCCAUGAAAGGCCUAAGUGAGCAGCGGGCCUCCUUGUGGCUGGAUAUUGUGAAUGUCAGACGUUUAUUUACCUGUGCUCUGGGCCAAAGAAAAACCCUUUGUUCUGUCUAGCACAGCUCUUGAUUCCCUGGAGCCUUGGUGCAUACUGCUUCUCUAAUGCUAUUUCUACCAGAGAAUAUUCUCAUGCUUUUUCAGUCUUAUGAAUAUAGAGGCUGAAAGUGUGCAGCUAAAAAGUUUGUGUUGCAGAGUGAGGAGGAAAAGCUGAACUGCUGAACAGAGAGAUGACCAGAAGUGUAAGAACACCGAGCCCGGCAAACUCAGUGAACAAGUGAGAACUGCAAGAGCAGAAUUGUAGUCUUCCAUUUCAAAUGUUAAGGAAUGCAAACAGUUGGCAGAGCUGAGAAAAGUAAACAGAACUUCUGCUUGGAAGACAGAGGUUUUUAACCAGCAGGAAAACUCUAGCAUAGAUGAAGACAGCUGGAAACAGUAGACAAGUUACGCACUCAUGUCCUCAUUGAAAUGAGACUUGCUGGAUCUAAAAAAAGAGACAAGCAGCUAAGUUAAAUCAGAAUGGAUAUGUACCAGUCUUACUGCCCACGUUGAGAGCAGGGUAUAACUAGCUGACAUCAGGGACCUGUUAGUACUGCCUGGCUCUUAAGGCUACAAAUGACCAUCAGAAACUCACAGAAUCUCAAGAUCCAGCAAGAGUGAAUUAAUAGACUGCUUUAGGGUCUAUUUAGAUUUAGGGAUUUAAAACUAAUGGAAUGCAGGGGAAAUGCUUUGCUUUGCCUUCUUUUAUCCAGCGGUGUUAAAAAUAUGCAGCACUGGUCAGAAAUCCCCACAAAUGUGCCCACACCACAUUGAUGGCUCUUUCAGCAGCACUUUGUGAGGAUCAUCUGCAGGAACAGCGUCACAUCUGUGGGAGCAGCAGAGAUGUCGCUUCCUUUGUCAACGAGUUUUCUGAAAUCAGAGAAAUGCUGUGCUGCUGUUUCUCAGGGAACGCAGUAACUUCAGGCAGUGCCACAGAGCGACGGCCCUGGGGUGGUGAACGGCAGAGAGGGGAGUCCAUCCAUCCUUCCAGUGCAGAGGUGGGAAGUUUUAGGCUGUGGUCUGACGGAAAGUCUACGUGGAGUCAAAUUUCAGAGCUGGAGCCCUGAACUGCAGUGAGUCACACAGAGAGCCUGAGAGCUGCCUUUGUUCCACUUGUGUCUGAACGUUGGAGGAGAAACAGCAGGCUCCAGUUUUCUGUAACUUGUUUUCAGAAGUAUAAAAUUCAUGUUCACUGAACAUUUUCCUUCCGCCCUUGAGGUCUUUCAACUGACUUUCAAAAAAUGCUGUCAUGUUGUGCCUGGUGGAGCUGGAAUGUGCUGCUACUGUUCUUAGGCUUGUCGAUCCAUGCUUGUUCAGCAGCUCAGGUCAUAGAAGAUAACAAGGGAAAGACCACAUCUGAAAUACAAGGAGAGAACAAAACCUUACAUGGUAGGACGUUUGAAGCUCAGCAGAGGAGCAGUCUGACAAAAUGGCAUCUGGCAUGGAAGCGCCUCUGAAGUGAAGGUGUACAGAAUACCUCCUCGCAGACAAAAAGUGGCAAUGGCACCUGCUGACAUUCAUCACCUCUUGCCAAAUGUUUCUGGAGACCAAGCAAUGGAUGUGAGCACAGUGGGGCAGUGAGUGGUGCAUUUCAGCUGUGGUGACAGUGGCAGUGGUUCAUCUCUUGUAGUUCCACAGAUUUCCACAGGUGUGGUUUGCUGGCAAAAAUACAUGUGGUUUAUCUCUAUAU